rnacentral:rRNA from 1 species
UGGAAUCGCUAGUAAUCGUAGAUCAGCAUGCUACGGUGAAUACGUUCCCGGGUCUUGUACACACCGCCCGUCACACCACGAGAGUUUGUAACACCCGAAGCCGGUGGAGUAACCAUUUGGAACUAGCCGUCGAAGGUGGGACAAAUGAUUGGGGUGAAGUCGUAACAAGGUAGCCGUAUCGGAAGGUGCGGCUGGAUCACCUCCUUU